rnacentral:rRNA from 1 species
GGGUUGUGAGGUUAAGCGACUAAGCGUACACGGUGGAUGCCCUGGCAGUCAGAGGCGAUGAAGGACGUGCUAAUCUGCGAUAAGCGUCGGUAAGGUGAUAUGAACCGUUAUAACCGGCGAUUUCCGAAUGGGGAAACCCAGUGUGUUUCGACACACUAUCAUUAACUGAAUCCAUAGGUUAAUGAGGCGAACCGGGGGAACUGAAACAUCUAAGUACCCCGAGGAAAAGAAAUCAACCGAGAUUCCCCCAGUAGCGGCGAGCGAACGGGGAGCAGCCCAGAGCCUGAAUCAGUGUGUGUGUUAGUGGAAGCGUCUGGAAAGGCGCGCGAUACAGGGUGACAGCCCCGUACACAAAAAUGCACAUACUGUGAGCUCGAUGAGUAGGGCGGGACACGUGGUAUCCUGUCUGAAUAUGGGGGGACCAUCCUCCAAGGCUAAAUACUCCUGACUGACCGAUAGUGAACCAGUACCGUGAGGGAAAGGCGAAAAGAACCCCGGCGAGGGGAGUGAAAAAGAACCUGAAACCGUGUACGUACAAGCAGUGGGAGCACGCUUAGGCGUGUGACUGCGUACCUUUUGUAUAAUGGGUCAGCGACUUAUAUUCUGUAGCAAGGUUAACCGAAUAGGGGAGCCGAAGGGAAACCGAGUCUUAACUGGGCGUUAAGUUGCAGGGUAUAGACCCGAAACCCGGUGAUCUAGCCAUGGGCAGGUUGAAGGUUGGGUAACACUAACUGGAGGACCGAACCGACUAAUGUUGAAAAAUUAGCGGAUGACUUGUGGCUGGGGGUGAAAGGCCAAUCAAACCGGGAGAUAGCUGGUUCUCCCCGAAAGCUAUUUAGGUAGCGCCUCGUGAAUUCAUCUCCGGGGGUAGAGCACUGUUUCGGCAAGGGGGUCAUCCCGACUUACCAACCCGAUGCAAACUGCGAAUACCGGAGAAUGUUAUCACGGGAGACACACGGCGGGUGCUAACGUCCGUCGUGAAGAGGGAAACAACCCAGACCGCCAGCUAAGGUCCCAAAGUCAUGGUUAAGUGGGAAACGAUGUGGGAAGGCCCAGACAGCCAGGAUGUUGGCUUAGAAGCAGCCAUCAUUUAAAGAAAGCGUAAUAGCUCACUGGUCGAGUCGGCCUGCGCGGAAGAUGUAACGGGGCUAAACCAUGCACCGAAGCUGCGGCAGCGACGCUGAUGCGUUGUUGGGUAGGGGAGCGUUCUGUAAGCCUGUGAAGGUGUGCUGUGAGGCAUGCUGGAGGUAUCAGAAGUGCGAAUGCUGACAUAAGUAACGAUAAAGCGGGUGAAAAGCCCGCUCGCCGGAAGACCAAGGGUUCCUGUCCAACGUUAAUCGGGGCAGGGUGAGUCGACCCCUAAGGCGAGGCCGAAAGGCGUAGUCGAUGGGAAACAGGUUAAUAUUCCUGUACUUGGUGUUACUGCGAAGGGGGGACGGAGAAGGCUAUGUUGGCCGGGCGACGGUUGUCCCGGUUUAAGCGUGUAGGCUGGUUUUCCAGGCAAAUCCGGAAAAUCAAGGCUGAGGCGUGAUGACGAGGCACUACGGUGCUGAAGCAACAAAUGCCCUGCUUCCAGGAAAAGCCUCUAAGCAUCAGGUAACAUCAAAUCGUACCCCAAACCGACACAGGUGGUCAGGUAGAGAAUACCAAGGCGCUUGAGAGAACUCGGGUGAAGGAACUAGGCAAAAUGGUGCCGUAACUUCGGGAGAAGGCACGCUGAUAUGUAGGUGAAGUCCCUCGCGGAUGGAGCUGAAAUCAGUCGAAGAUACCAGCUGGCUGCAACUGUUUAUUAAAAACACAGCACUGUGCAAACACGAAAGUGGACGUAUACGGUGUGACGCCUGCCCGGUGCCGGAAGGUUAAUUGAUGGGGUUAGCGCAAGCGAAGCUCUUGAUCGAAGCCCCGGUAAACGGCGGCCGUAACUAUAACGGUCCUAAGGUAGCGAAAUUCCUUGUCGGGUAAGUUCCGACCUGCACGAAUGGCGUAAUGAUGGCCAGGCUGUCUCCACCCGAGACUCAGUGAAAUUGAACUCGCUGUGAAGAUGCAGUGUACCCGCGGCAAGACGGAAAGACCCCGUGAACCUUUACUAUAGCUUGACACUGAACAUUGAGCCUUGAUGUGUAGGAUAGGUGGGAGGCUUUGAAGUGUGGACGCCAGUCUGCAUGGAGCCGACCUUGAAAUACCACCCUUUAAUGUUUGAUGUUCUAACGUUGACCCGUGAUCCGGGUUGCGGACAGUGUCUGGUGGGUAGUUUGACUGGGGCGGUCUCCUCCUAAAGAGUAACGGAGGAGCACGAAGGUUGGCUAAUCCUGGUCGGACAUCAGGAGGUUAGUGCAAUGGCAUAAGCCAGCUUGACUGCGAGCGUGACGGCGCGAGCAGGUGCGAAAGCAGGUCAUAGUGAUCCGGUGGUUCUGAAUGGAAGGGCCAUCGCUCAACGGAUAAAAGGUACUCCGGGGAUAACAGGCUGAUACCGCCCAAGAGUUCAUAUCGACGGCGGUGUUUGGCACCUCGAUGUCGGCUCAUCACAUCCUGGGGCUGAAGUAGGUCCCAAGGGUAUGGCUGUUCGCCAUUUAAAGUGGUACGCGAGCUGGGUUUAGAACGUCGUGAGACAGUUCGGUCCCUAUCUGCCGUGGGCGCUGGAGAACUGAGGGGGGCUGCUCCUAGUACGAGAGGACCGGAGUGGACGCAUCACUGGUGUUCGGGUUGUCAUGCCAAUGGCACUGCCCGGUAGCUAAAUGCGGAAGAGAUAAGUGCUGAAAGCAUCUAAGCACGAAACUUGCCCCGAGAUGAGUUCUCCCUGACUCCUUGAGAGUCCUGAAGGAACGUUGAAGACGACGACGUUGAUAGGCCGGGUGUGUAAGCGCAGCGAUGCGUUGAGCUAACCGGUACUAAUGAACCGUGAGGCUUAACCUUACAACGCCGAAG